GCAGCCGCCGCGGUAAUACGGAGGGUGCAAGCGUUAAUCGGAAUUACUGGGCGUAAAGCGCACGCAGGCGGUCUGUCAAGUCAGAUGUGAAAUCCCCGGGCUUAACCUGGGAACUGCAUUUGAAACUGGCAGGCUAGAGUCUUGUAGAGGGGGGUAGAAUUCCAGGUGUAGCGGUGAAAUGCGUAGAGAUCUGGAGGAAUACCGGUGGCGAAGGCGGCCCCCUGGACAAAGACUGACGCUCAGGUGCGAAAGCGUGGGGAGCAAACAGGAUUAGAUACCCCGGUAGUCCCUGUCUCUUAUAC
rnacentral:rRNA from 1 species